CCAUGUGUGACACACGGCCAUGCAACACGGCCGUGUGUCCCCUGUAGAUUUCAAAGGGUUACAAGUCAGGCAGUUACAUGGCCUAGCAUACGGCCUGGCACACAGGCGUCUGACUUGGCCGUGUGACUCAUGUCAAAGAGUUACACGAGCACGAACAGAGGCUGGGACACAGCCGUGUGUCCCUACUCCGAAUGUCCACAUGGCCUGAGUCACGAGCGUGUGUCUCAG
rnacentral:lncRNA from 1 species